UUGAAAUUAAGAGAUUAAAGGGAAAAAAAAAUAAAAAAUUUAAGAUAGAUACACACGCAUUUUAAAAAAAUUAAGAGAAAGAAUUUCAUUCAAGAAUAUAUAUAUACAUACAUACACACGCUCGGACAGGAAUUUUAAGGAAUAUAUGUAUUGAACGGAAGAGAAAGAAUUUGGUCAAAAAAAAUUCAAAUUAAUAGAUUAAAGGGAAAAAAAAUA
rnacentral:lncRNA from 1 species